GACAGAGGGUGCAAACGUUGUUCGGAUUUACUGGGCGUAAAGGGCGCGUAGGCGGCCACGACAAGUCACUUGUGAAAUCUCCGGGCUUAACCCGGAACGGUCAAGUGAUACUGUCGGGCUAGAGUGCAGAAGGGGCAACUGGAAUUCUCGGUGUAGCGGUGAAAUGCGUAGAUAUCGAGAGGAACACCUGCGGCGAAGGCGGGUUGCUGGGCUGACACUGACGCUGAGGCGCGAAAGCUAGGGGAGCGAACGGG
rnacentral:rRNA from 1 species